rnacentral:hammerhead_ribozyme from 1 species
AUGUAACUGAAGUGUCCUCAAUAGGACGAAACGCACGUCCUGGAU